GAUGAACGCUGGGGGCAUGCUUAACACAUGCAAGUCGAACGGGUUAUAAGUUGAAACUUUGAGUGAAUUCUUGUAAUCAGUGGCGGACGGGUGCGUAACGCGUAAGAACCUACCUUUAGGUGGAGAAUAACUACUGGAAACGGUGGCUAAUACUCCAUAUGCUGAGGAGUGAAAGGGAAAGACAACUUUCUCGCCUAGGGAUGGGCUUGCGUCUGAUUAGCUUGUUGGUGGGGUAAUGGCUUACCAAGGCGACGAUCAGUAGCUGGUCUGAGAGGAC
rnacentral:rRNA from 1 species